UGGUGUGGGUCUCUGUGGGUUCUGUUUGUUUGUGACUGUGUGAUUCCUACGCCUGGAAAUGUCUCUCUUUCUUCAUGGUUGGUGAGUUUUUGCCAUAAUUUCAUUAAGUACAUUUUCAACUGUUUUCUCUCUCUCUUCUGCUUCUGGGAGCCCGAUCAUGCCAAUGUUAGGACAGUUGAUGUAGUUCCAUAGAUUCCUUAAACUGCUCUCAAUUUUAAAAAAGUUGUUCUUCCUUUUGUAGUUCUGACUGGGUAAUUCCCAUGGUUCUGUCUUCCAGGUCACGUGGGGUCUCCGGUGUCACCUAGUCCCCUGUUCGCCCCUUCCAGUGUUUUAAGUUUUAGCUAUUGUACCCCUCUGGGGCAGUGCUGUUCCAUUGUACGCUCAGCCCACAUCGUGCUCAUCUGUCCAUCCACGGAAGGACACUCGCGUUCCCGCCUCGUGGAAGCCAGCGUUUUGUCUCCGAAGGUGGAGAACGGCUCAUGCUCCUCACAGCAGGACCGCACGAAGGUGCCUUUCUGAGCAGCUCGAGUGCUGGGCAGCCAGUGAGCAAGCCGAGUGGGGUCGCCCGCGGGAGGGAUCCACUCUGCUUUCCAGCAGGUUUGUGACACUUGCUGCCGUUCUAAUCCAGGAUGCUGUUCCUUCUACGAGGCUCAAUCACUUGAUGUACCGUUUAGGGGGAAAUGCGCUGCGUUGUGAACAGACCCAGUGCGGGUAACUGGACGUUCCCACGUUGUACGUGUGGAAGCACGUGCUUUAGACUUAAUUAAGCAUCGAUGCUGGGCCCUUGAGCUGGCUUUCCAGUGCAGUUUAGACCCCCUCUUCAGGAACGCUGCUGAGUGCCGUGGACCUGCCCUCCCAUCCUCUCUGGAGUCAGUCGGCUCCUGUGGGUUGGAAGAAGACUGCGUUGUGCCCCAGGGUGUGUUAGUCUCCAGGGGAACGGAAUCCGUAGGAUGUACCCCUACCUCUGUGUAUACGGUCUGUAUCUAGAAAGAGAUUUGUCGUAAAGAAGUGACUGGCACAAUGACGGUGGCUGGAGUCCAUGAUCUGCCGGGGCGCAGGCAGCUGACGUGGAGAGUUCAGGUCCAAAGGCCGUCUGCUGUCUUCCUGAGAGAGGAUGCCUGGAGGGACGUUGUCUGAGAUCUUGCCUGUCAGGGGAUGCCUUUAUUCUACCUUUACACUUUAUCCUUGGUUUGGGUGCAAAUUCUGUUAGAAAUAAUUUUUCUGCUGAUGGCUGAAGGCCAUUUGAUUGCAUGUCCCCCUCAGUGGCAGAACAUUCUAGAAGCACCAAAGGAGCUCAGAUAAGGGAGUGACCUCUCGCUGCCCAGGAACACCUCUGAGAGCUCGCCUGGAGCGAAGGCAACCUAAUGGAGAAGGGGCUCUGUUCACCAAGUGGUGGUGGAGCACCUGCAUCCCAGCAGGAAACGAGCUGAGGCACAUACUCACAGUGGUCAUGAAGUUGACUCACAGUGGGUCGUUGACCUCAACGCAAAGAACGGAACCAUGGGAAUCUAGGUGACCUUGAGUUCGGCGAAGAGCCAGGAGGUACAACACCAAAAGCGCAUUCCACGAAAAAGAAGUCACUAGCUGAACUUAACUGAAGUGGAAAAUGCCUGCCUGUGGAAGACACUGUCGAGAGAAUGAAAGGCAGGCCAGAGACUGGGAGAAUCACACAUCUGCAAACCUCGUAUCUGAUAAAGGACUCGUGUCCGAAAUAUGCAGAGAACUGUUAAAAGUCAGCAACAAGGAAAGCAACAACCCAGUUAAAAGUGACUAAAAGCCCUGGACAGACCUGUCACCUGGGAAGACUCACAGAUGCAGAGAAGGAAGCGCAAGUUUCCUCCACGUCCUACGUCGCUGGAGCCUGUAAGUGAAAACAAGUAAGACCACCACGCAGCUGUUAGAACGGUGGACGUCCAGAAGCAACACCGAAACCCGGCACCUCCCAACGCUGGUGAGGGUGUGGGGCAGCAGGAGGCCUCCUCCGCUGCGGGUGGGUGCAAAACGGAAGAGCCCGUCUGCAGGAGAGCUCGGCAGGUUCUCCAAAAUCUAAACCUAAUCUUGCCAUACAACCCAGCAACUGCAUUCCUAGAUACUCACCUGUUCAAAUGGGCUGAAAACUCAUGUCCACCCCAAAACUGUGCAGCGAUGUUUAUGGUUUAUAAACGUCUGCAGAUGCUUUGUUCGUAGCUUAACUCAAACUUGGAUGCGCCCAGGAUGUCCCUCAGUAGGUGAGUGGAUGCAUCCAGACAGUGGGAUAGGAUUUCAGAAUAAAAAGGACGAAGCCGUCUGUGAAGAAUUGAGUUUUUCAUCAUUGUAUAGCGUCCUUCUGGGUGUCUUAUGACUGUUUUUACCUUCAAGUCUAUUUUGUCCAAGUGUACCCAUCCUUGCUUCCUUUUGUUUGCCUUUCUCAUGGAGUACCUUUUUCCAUCCCUUCAUGUCCAGCCUACAUGUGUCCUUAAACCUAAAGUGAGUCCCUUGUGAUGGCACAGAUUUGGACCUUGCUUGUUAUCCACUCAGCCGCUCUCUAUCUUUUGCUCUGAUAAUUUAAUCCAUUUACAUUUAAGGUAAUUGUGGCAGGGAAAGGCCUAUUAUCACUGUUGUUUUUAAUAGUUCUCUGUCUGUCUUAUAGUUAAUUUGUUCCUCUAUUCCUUCUUGCUUCUUUCUUUUGUGCUUCAUUGAUUUUC